rnacentral:tRNA from 1 species
GGGGGCGUAGUUCAGUUGGUUAGAACGCCCGCCUGUCACGCAGGAGGGCGCGGUUCGAGUCCGUCGGUCGCUCCCGCCA